rnacentral:rRNA from 1 species
UACAGAGGGGGCAAGCGUUGUUCGGAAUUACUGGGCGUAAAGGGCGCGUAGGCGGCCCGCUAAGUCGAACGUGAAAUCUCCGGGCUUAACCCGGAAACUGCCGUUGAUACUAUCUGUCUUGAAUAUCGUGGAGGUAAGCGGAAUAUGUCAUGUAGCGGUGAAAUGCUUAGAUAUGACAUAGAACACCCAUUGCGAAGGCAGCUUACUACACGAUCAUUGACGCUGAGGCACGAAAGCGUGGGGAGCAAACAGG